rnacentral:misc_RNA from 1 species
AACGCACAUUGCGCCCUUUGGCAUUCCGAAGGGCAUACCUGUUCGAGCGUCAUUUCAACCCUCAAGCCUAGCUUGGUGUUGGGCGUUUUGUCCCGCUGCGUGCGCGGACUCGCCUUAAAAGAAUCGGCGUCUACAUGUGGGCCUGAUGCGUAGUAAAAUUCGCAGACCAGGCUGGCGUGCUGGCGGCCGGAACGCAUAUAUCUUUUUGUUUGACCUCGGAUCAGGUAGGGAUACCCGCUGAACUUAA